GUGCAGACUUGCAGAAAGCUAUUGAGGUGAAAACUAUGCUUUGGCAGCUGGUCAGCGUGAUGAAAUCGCCAAAUUUGAGGGACGGAUCAUCAAGCAAGCUUUUGGGAAGCUGAAACUAGAGCACGUUGUGAUUGGGAACGGACAGUAGUUUGAACAAGAAAGAGUAAAAGCUUAAUGUUCUAGAGGAAGGGGAGCUGCUGGUGCUGCUUUGGGAUGAGCAGGCUGAGAAAGACAGGAUGUUCCUGACCGACAUCAGCGGCCAUCUGUUGAAGCUAAUGGAUCUACUAGAAGAUCCUCAUGAAAUCCUCUUGUAAUAUGCAGGGCAUAUCUUCUCUACCCUGCCAAGAUGAGAAAAUUCUUAUUAUCAGCAUCAAUAGUUUGAGCAAGGUAAUCAACCCACCAAGUUCCUUACAUUUCUCAUGUCUGCAACCAGUUUAAAGCUGCACUACAAGCCUCAAUUCGGCAUCUGCAUAUUCAUGGAUAGAAUUGGGAGUCAAGUAGUAUUUAGCUGCAUGUGUACAACUCAUUAUCUUACAUUGACCCGUGUUCUGAGUUGGGGUGAGGCGUACAGCUACCUUAUCUUUCGCAUAUCGCAUAUUGCUAAUCUAUGUAUUUGCAGCUUGUGAAUUGAUUGUCACAGGAAACCCUCAUGGGAAAUGUGUCAACAUUUCUUCCCGCACUUUCGGAUGCUUUUAAAAACCAGAGCUCGUAUGUCCACAAGCCAAUGAGCAUGGUGCACGCCUCGAGUUUCAAUGCCACUGCAGCGUGGUCCGACCGAUGCUGGUGCUUGGGCAGGCACAACAGCCCAGCUCGGACACAGCAUGGACCGCUGCGGCCUGGAGCGGGGCAGGCAAGGCAACGGGUGCACAUCACGGUGGGUUGGACCCGGCUGGUGGCAAGAGGGCGGCGCGGCAACAU